rnacentral:rRNA from 1 species
UAGUGGCGAACGGGUGAGUAACACGUGAGUAACCUGCCCCUAACUUUGGGAUAAUUCCGGGAAACCGGGACUAAUACUGGAUAUGAGCCUUCCUCGCAUGGGGUUGAUUGGAAAGGGUUUUCUGGUGGGGGAUGGGCUCGCGGCCUAUCAGCUUGUUGGUGGGGUGAUGGCCUACCAAGGCUUCGACGGGUAGCCGGCCUGAGAGGGCGACCGGCCACAUUGGGACUGAGAUACGGCCCAGACUCCUACGGGAGGCAGCAGUGGGGAAUAUUGCACAAUGGGCGAAAGCCUGAUGCAGCGACGCCGCGUGAGGGAUGGAGGCCUUCGGGUUGUAAACCUCUUUCGGCAGGGAAGAAGCGUUAAGUGACGGUACCUGCAGAAGAAGCGCCGGCUAACUACGUGCCAGCAGCCGCGGUAAUACGUAGGGCGCAAGCGUUGUCCGGAAUUAUUGGGCGUAAAGAGCUCGUAGGUGGUUUGUCGCGUCUGGUGUGAAAUCCCGGGGCUUAACUUCGGGCGUGCAUCGGGUACGGGCAGGCUAGAGUGCGGUAGGGGAGACUGGAAUUCCUGGUGUAGCGGUGGAAUGCGCAGAUAUCAGGAGGAACACCGAUGGCGAAGGCAGGUCUCUGGGCCGCAACUGACGCUGAGGAGCGAAAGCAUGGGGAGCGAACAGGAUUAGAU